rnacentral:rRNA from 1 species
UACGAAGGGGGCUAGCGUUGCUCGGAAUCACUGGGCGUAAAGGGUGCGUAGGUGGGUCUUUAAGUCAGAGGUGAAAGCCUGGAGCUCAACUCCAGAACUGCCCUUGAUACUGAGGAUCUUGAGUAUGGGAGAGGUGAGUGGAACUGCGAGUGUAGAGGCGAAAUUCGUAGAUAUUCGCAAGAACACCAGUGGCGAAGGCGGCUCACUGGCCCAUAACUGACGCUGAGGCACGAAAGCGUGGGGAGCAAACAGG